GACGAACGCUGGCGGCGUGCCUAAUACAUGCAAGUCGAACGCAGUGGGGACGGGUGAGUAACACGUGGGUAACCUCCCAUCAGAGGGGAUAACACUUGGAAACAGGUGCUAAACCGAUACUGAUGGAUGGACCCGCGGUGCAUUAGCUAGUGGGUGGGGUAACGGCUCACCAAGGCCACGAUGCAUAGCCGGCCUGAGAGGGUGAUCGGCCACACUGGGACUGAGACACGGCCCAGACUCCUACGGGAGGCAGCAGUGGGGAAUCUUGGGCAAUGGACGAAAGUCUGACGCAGCAACGCCGCGUGAGUGAAGAAGGUUUUCGGAUUGUAAAGCACUGUUGUUAGGGAGGCGGUAUCUAACGAGAAAGCACCGGCUAACUACGUGCCAGCAGCCGCGGUAAUUC
rnacentral:rRNA from 1 species